GAUGAACGCUGGCGGCGUGCCUAAUACAUGCAAGUCGAGCGAACGGACGAGAAGCUUGCUUUUCUGAUGUUAGCGGCGGACGGGUGAGUAACACGUGGAUAACCUACCUAUAAGACUGGGAUAACUUCGGGAAACCGGAGCUAAUACCGGAUAAUAUUUUGAACCGCAUGGUUCAAAAGUGAAAGACGGUCUUGCUGUCACUUAUAGAUGGAUCCGCGCUGCAUUAGCUAGUUGGUAAGGUAACGGCUUACCAAGGCAACGAUGCAUAGCCGACCUGAGAGGGGGAUCGGCCACACUGGAACUGAGACACGGUCCAGACUCCUACGGGAGGCAGCAGUAGGGAAUCUUCCGCAAUGGGCGAAAGCCUGACGGAGCAACGCCGCGUGAGUGAUGAAGGUCUUCGGAUCGUAAAACUCUGUUAUUAGGGAAGACCAUAUGUGUAAGUAACUGUGCACAUCUUGACGGUACCUAAUCAGAAAGCCACGGCUAACUACGUG
rnacentral:rRNA from 1 species